UACGUAGGGACCAAGCGUUGUUCGGAUUUACUGGGCGUAAAGGGCGCGUAGGCGGCGUGUCAAGUCAAUUGUGAAAUCUCCGGGCUUAACCCGGAACGGUCAAUUGAUACUGACGUGCUGGAGUGCGGAAGGGGCAAUCGGAAUUCUUGGUGUAGCGGUGAAAUGCGCAGAUAUCAGGAGGAACACCGAUGGCGAAGGCAGCUUGCUGGGACGGUACUGACGCUGAGACGCGAAAGCGUGGGGAGCAAACAGG
rnacentral:rRNA from 1 species